GAAAACGCGUCUGACAUCAGCCCCUCUGACAUCUGUUCUCUGAUGGAGGGGAGCGGCAGACGGGAGAGUAACACGUGGGAACGUACCCUUUGGUUCGGAACAACCCAGGGAAACUUGGGCUAAUACCGGAUAAGCCCUUACGGGGAAAGAUUUAUCGCCGAAGGAUCGGCCCGCGUCUGAUUAGCUAGUUGGUGGGGUAAUGGCCCACCAAGGCGACGAUCAGUAGCUGGUCUGAGAGGAUGAUCAGCCUCACUGGGACUGAGACACGGCCCAGACUCCUACGGGAGGCAGCAGUGGGGAAUAUUGGACAAUGGGCGCAAGCCUGAUCCAGCCAUGCCGCGUGGGUGAUGAAGGCCCUAGGGUUGUAAAGCCCUUUCGGCGGGGAAGAUAAUGACGGUACCCGCAGAAGAAGCCCCGGCUAACUUCGUG
rnacentral:rRNA from 1 species